rnacentral:tRNA from 1 species
GCCGGAUUGGCGGAAUGGUAGACGCGGAGCACUCAAAAUGCUUUGUUCGAAAGGACGUGUGGGUUCAAGUCCCACAUCCGGCACCA